GGUCAACCCCGUCUCCUCACAGAGAUAAAAGUUUCUGUCCCCUCCUUGCACAGAGUUGCUCUCAGAAACUUCGUGGAUCACUCUUAAGCUAACAUUCCUUGCUAGGAAUCUUUAGGCUAAGUUGGGAACUCUCUGAGUCUGCUUGGGGAAUACG